rnacentral:rRNA from 1 species
UACGUAGGGGGCAAGCGUUGUCCGGAUUAUUGGGCGUAAAGAGCGUGUAGGCGGCCAGGUAGGUCUGCUGUGAAAACUCGAGGCUUAACCUCGAGAUGUCGGCGGAAACCAUCUGGCUAGAGUCCGGAAGAGGAGAGUGGAAUUCCUGGUGUAGCGGUGAAAUGCGCAGAUAUCAGGAAGAACACCCGUGGCGAAGGCGGCUCUCUGGGACGGUACUGACGCUGAGACGCGAAAGCGUGGGGAGCGAACAGG